GCGAGAACAAGAAAGGAAAAAUUCUACUGUCCAUGUGGGGGAAUCUGAAACAACUUCUCAUAAUACUCCCUUUGUUUCGAAAAUUCCCUAGUCCCGGGGGAACCCUAGCAGCCGCCGCCAGGCCCCCCCAACCCCGCCCUCUCCCGCGCCGCCGCCGCCGGAGGGCCGGGCGGCGAAGCCGCGCCGGGCCCUGGGAUGGUGGCUGUUCUCCCUCGACGCGUCGCCCCGCGCUGCCGUCCCCGUCCACCUCCGCCCAUCCACGCGCCGCCGGCGACGAAGGGCUGGCUGGCGCGGCCGCGCCGGGCCCUUGGCCUCCUCCGACGCGCACCUCCCCUCCGUUCGCGCUAUGGCGUCAGCCCCACCUGCCCCCUUCCCCUCGAGCUACGGAUCUCCGGUGCCCUUGGUUGCCCGGCGGCGGCUGCCCCUGCAGCUCGCCCGGCCGGGAGUGCGGCUGGCGUGCCAUCCCCUCGCGCGCUUCCCAGCCUGCAGGUGCGGCUUUGGCCCUGGAAUUCAUGGACAUGCGCCCCCUCCCCUGUCCAUGAUUGUCCAGCGCGGUUCCAGAUCUGGCCCCCGCAUGAGCUGCGUCCCUUCUAGCUCCUCCGGCUUGUCAGCAUCUUGGUGGCUUCGCAACCCCCCCUGCAGAUGUCUUUGUUGGCCGGUCCAUCCCGGUGCGGCUCCGGCUUCGGCGUGUUCCUGGAGCUGCGUCUUCUUCCGGCUCCUUUGGCAUGUCGGCGCCCCUGUUGCUCCGGUCCCGGCGGCCCGGAUUUGCGUUCUCUCCAAAUCUUGGCUUGUCCGGGUCCCCCGGCCACCUUGG
rnacentral:rRNA from 1 species